GUGCUUAAGCAGCACCUAAACUAAACUUAGAACUACACAGAGAAGAUUAGCACACCCCUGCCACAAGGACGACACGCAAAUUUGUGAAGUGUUCCUUUUAUAG
ensembl:snRNA U6 U6 spliceosomal RNA